rnacentral:rRNA from 1 species
AGAGUUUGAUCCUGGCUCAGGAUGAACGCUAGCUACAGGCUUAACACAUGCAAGUCGAGGGGCAGCAUGGUCUUAGCUUGCUAAGGCCGAUGGCGACCGGCGCACGGGUGAGUAACACGUAUCCAACCUGCCGUCUACUCUUGGACAGCCUUCUGAAAGGAAGAUUAAUACAAGAUGGCAUCAUGAGUCCACAUGUUCACAUGAUUAAAGGUAUUCCGGUGGACGAUGGGGAUGCGUUCCAUUAGAUAGUAGGCGGGGUAACGGCCCACCUAGUCUUCGAUGGAUAGGGGUUCUGAGAGGAAGGUCCCCCACAUUGGAACUGAGACGCGGUCCAAACUCCUACGGGAGGCAGCAGUGAGGAAUAUUGGUCAAUGGGCGAGAGCCUGAACCAGCCAAGUAGCGUGAAGGAUGACUGCCCUAUGGGUUGUAAACUUCUUUUAUAAAGGAAUAAAGUCGGGUAUGCAUACCCGUUUGCAUGUACUUUAUGAAUAAGGAUCGGCUAACUCCGUGCCAGCAGCCGCGGUAAUACGGAGGAUCCGAGCGUUAUCCGGAUUUAUUGGGUUUAAAGGGAGCGUAGAUGGAUGUUUAAGUCAGUUGUGAAAGUUUGCGGCUCAACCGUAAAAUUGCAGUUGAUACUGGAUAUCUUGAGUGCAGUUGAGGCAGGCGGAAUUCGUGGUGUAGCGGUGAAAUGCUUAGAUAUCACGAAGAACUCCGAUUGCGAAGGCAGCCUGCUAAGCUGCAACUGACAUUGAGGCUCGAAAGUGUGGGUAUCAAACAGGAUUAGAUACCCUGGUAGUCCACACGGUAAACGAUGAAUACUCGCUGUUUGCGAUAUACAGCAAGCGGCCAAGCGAAAGCGUUAAGUAUUCCACCUGGGGAGUACGCCGGCAACGGUGAAACUCAAAGGAAUUGACGGGGGCCCGCACAAGCGGAGGAACAUGUGGUUUAAUUCGAUGAUACGCGAGGAACCUUACCCGGGCUUAAAUUGCAGAUGAAUUACGGUGAAAGCCGUAAGCCGCAAGGCAUCUGUGAAGGUGCUGCAUGGUUGUCGUCAGCUCGUGCCGUGAGGUGUCGGCUUAAGUGCCAUAACGAGCGCAACCCUUGUUGUCAGUUACUAACAGGUUCCGCUGAGGACUCUGACAAGACUGCCAUCGUAAGAUGUGAGGAAGGUGGGGAUGACGUCAAAUCAGCACGGCCCUUACGUCCGGGGCUACACACGUGUUACAAUGGGGGGUACAGAGGGCCGCUACCACGCGAGUGGAUGCCAAUCCCCAAAACCUCUCUCAGUUCGGACUGGAGUCUGCAACCCGACUCCACGAAGCUGGAUUCGCUAGUAAUCGCGCAUCAGCCACGGCGCGGUGAAUACGUUCCCGGGCCUUGCACACACCGCCCGUCA